rnacentral:rRNA from 1 species
GUUGAACGCUGGCGGCAGGCCUAACACAUGCAAGUCGAGCGGAUGAAGGGAGCUUGCUCCUGGAUUCAGCGGCGGACGGGUGAGUAAUGCCUAGGAAUCUGCCUGGUAGUGGGGGAUAACGUCCGGUAACGGGCGCUAAUACCGCAUACGUCCUGAGGGUGAAAGUGGGGGUUCUUCGGACCUCACGCUAUCAGAUGAGCCUAGGUCGGAUUAGCUAGUUGGUAGGGUAAAGGCCUACCAAGGCGACGAUCCGUAACUGGUCUGAGAGGAUGAUCAGUCACACUGGAACUGAGACACGGUCCAGACUCCUACGGGAGGCAGCAGUGGGGAAUAUUGGACAAUGGGCGAAAGCCUGAUCCAGCAAUGCCGCGUGUGUGAAGAAGGUCUUCGGAUUGUAAAGCACUUUAAGUUGGGAGGAAGGGCAGUAAGUUAAUACCUUGCUGUUUUGACGUUACCAACAGAAUAAGCACCGGCUAACUUCGUG